GGAGGUAUGACUCAAAUGGUAGAGUGCCUGCCUUGUAAGUAAAAGGCCUUGAGUUCAAUCCCUAAUACCAUCA
rnacentral:tRNA from 1 species